rnacentral:rRNA from 1 species
UACAGAGGUCUCAAGCGUUGUUCGGAUUCAUUGGGCGUAAAGGGUGCGUAGGCGGCGCGGUAAGUCGGGUGUGAAAUCUUGGAGCUUAACUCCGAAACUGCAUUCGAUACUGCCGUGCUUGAGGACUGGAGAGGAGACUGGAAUUUACGGUGUAGCGGUGAAAUGUGUUGAUAUCAUCAGGAACUCCGGUGGCGAAGGCGGCAUGCUGGACCUUCACUGACGCUGAGGCGCGAAAGCUAGGGGAGCGAACGGG